rnacentral:rRNA from 1 species
AUUGAACGCUGGCGGCAUGCCUUACACAUGCAAGUCGAACGGUAACAGGUCUUCGGAUGCUGACGAGUGGCGAACGGGUGAGUAAUGCAUCGGGACGUGCCCAGUAGUGGGGGAUAGCCCGGCGAAAGCCGGAUUAAUACCGCAUACGACCUGAGGGUGAAAGAGGGGGAUCGCAAGACCUCUCGCUAUUGGAGCGGCCGAUGUCAGAUUAGCUAGUUGGUGGGGUAAAGGCCUACCAAGGCAACGAUCUGUAGUUGGUCUGAGAGGACGACCAGCCACACUGGGACUGAGACACGGCCCAGACUCCUACGGGAGGCAGCAGUGGGGAAUUUUGGACAAUGGGCGCAAGCCUGAUCCAGCAAUGCCGCGUGCAGGAAGAAGGCCUUCGGGUUGUAAACUGCUUUUGUCAGGGAAGAAAUCUUCUGGGCUAAUACCCUGGGAGGAUGACGGUACCUGAAGAAUAAGCACCGGCUAACUACGUGCCAGCCGCCGCGGUAAUAC